GACGAACGCUGGCGGCGUGCCUAAUACAUGCAAGUAGAACGCUGAAGAGAGGAGCUUGCUCUUCUUGGAUGAGUUGCGAACGGGUGAGUAACGCGUAGGUAACCUGCCUGGUAGCGGGGGAUAACUAUUGGAAACGAUAGCUAAUACCGCAUAAAAUUGAUUAUUGCAUGAUAAUUAAUUGAAAGAUGCAACUGCAUCACUACCAGAUGGACCUGCGUUGUAUUAGCUAGUUGGUGAGGUAACGGCUCACCAAGGCGACGAUACAUAGCCGACCUGAGAGGGUGAUCGGCCACACUGGGACUGAGACACGGCCCAGACUCCUACGGGAGGCAGCAGUAGGGAAUCUUCGGCAAUGGGGGGAACCCUGAACGAGCAACGCCGCGUGAGUGAAGAAGGUUUUCGGAUCGUAAAGAUCUGUUGUAAGAGAAGAACGGGUGUGAGAGUGGAAAGUUCAAACUGUGACGGUAUCUUACCAGAAAGGGACGGCUAACUACGUG
rnacentral:rRNA from 1 species